GACGAACGCUGGCGGCGUGCCUAAUACAUGCAAGUCGAACGCAGUGGGGACGGGUGAGUAACACGUGGGUAACCUCCCAUCAGAGGGGAUAACACUUGGAAACAGGUGCUAAACCGAUACUGAUGGAUGGACCCGCGGUGCAUUAGCUAGUUGGUGAGGUAACGGCUCACAAAGGCCACGAUGCAUAGCCGAGCGGAGAGAGUGAUAGGCCACACUGGGACGGAGACACGGCCAAGACGCCUACGGGAGGCAGCAGUAGGGAAUAUUGAACAAUGGGCGCAAGCCUGAUGCAGCCAGGCCGCGUGUAUGAAGAAGGCCUUCGGGUUGUAAAGUACUUUAAGCGGGGAGGCGUUACACGCAGAAGAAGCACCGGCUAACUCCGUGCCAGCAGCCGCGGUAAUUC
rnacentral:rRNA from 1 species